rnacentral:lncRNA from 1 species
GCACCGUUUCGAAACUUAAAGGAGAAAUAGAUGAAAUAAAAUUAGAACAAAUGGAAGUGAUUCCGAAGAAUAUUAGAGGUAAAGGUAUUAAUAUAAGCUAUAUAUCAUUAUAUAAUGAGUUCUACAAUUCCAGUUAAAAUUUAUCAGAACGAAAUUGAAAAACAAAGUCUUCGCACUGCUAUUAUACAUAGUAGAAUCUUUAUGAGUACUUUUAGAAUGAGUGUAUGUUUUGGAAGACUUUAAUUUUAAAAAGACAACAGUACAGUUAACCAACACACGUUUGUCCAGUUAAAACAGUCAAUUCAGUUAUACAGUGUAAAUCAAAUAUUUUGGUAGAUGAAUACAUGUCCAUAGUCCUUCUAUUGUCUUUAAGAGUUAUGAGUAUGAUAGCCAUUGCUACAACUCUCCACCAAAGACGAAAUGACUUAGCUAUAAAAGACCAAAACUAAACAAAUGUGAAACAAUUCAAACAUAGAGUCUAAAGAUUUUGACUGAUGUGCAAAAUUAUGAUUGAAAAAAAAUAUGAUAAACAUCAAUAAACAAUAACCACUGAUUUACAAGCUCCUGCCUUCACAUACACCUACAGAAUGAGGCAAGGUAACACCUGUUCCAUAAUGCCAAAUGUUUCAAACAGUUGAAAAUGAGCUUUAAAGUAAAAUCACAAAUAUACUGAACUCCGAAGAACAUUCAAAAAGGAAACACUAAUAAAAUGGCAAAAUCAAAAGGCCAAACGCAUCCAACGAAUGGAUAACAACUGUCAUAUUCCUGCUUUGGUACAGGCAUUUUCUUAUGUAGAAAAGGAUUAAUUGAAUCUGGUUUUACAACUACCUUAACCUCUCACUUGUAUUGACAGUCGCAUCAAAUACUAUAAUAUUGAUAACGAUGCGUAAAAAAAACAAACAGACACAAUAUGUAAAAAUCAAUUCAGUACCAUUGUUACACUAUUGAAUCCAGAUAUUGAAUUAUUUUUAGUUCUGUUAUAAGUGUGUAGAGAAUACGUUUGUCAGUAAAAAAUUGCCAUAUUUGUCAAAGCUUGUGUAGAACUUCAAACACUUACCGUGGAAUACAGAUACAAAACUGUAACUUUGGGACAAUUAUCAUUCCAUAUAUAAAGCUUUUGAUAUUUUUUCUUGGUAAGUAAAUAUAUUGUUAAUCAUGAAUGUUAUAAUUAAUCAAUAUUUAUAUGUUUAAUAACCACCAAUAAUUGGAAUUCGCUUCACAAAAACACCAGUUACUUAAUAUCAAUAUGAUAAUAAAUUACCACAGUGAUUUUAUUACUAUUUGAAUUAAUUAAAAAAACAAGCAUUGAUAUAAGACAAUAAGAAGACCAUUUUCAAUUGAAAGCGUGAAUGGAUUAUAUUUCAUUGAAAAAAUUAUAUAUAUCCGUGUCAUUGACGAAAAGAUGUUCAUGGUUUUAACUUUUCAAAGACUUCACUGACUUAAUGAAUAUCUAAAUACUAUCUGUCGUUACUAACAUGAUUAAUAUCUUUGUUUCAUGAUGCAGGUUAAUCUAGUAAAAUAAUUUCGUCGUGUUUUGUUCUCACAUUUUGUCCAUACCACUGCUGGUUGUUAAUAGUCAAAUAAAGUAUCACAGGCUCGUUAGACCAGUUCGUCAGUACUGAAAUGAUUAAUAGAAAUAUCAUUGAGUUCGUAAUUGAUAAAUUUAAAACAUUUUUCAAAACUAAGAUUCAAACUUGCUCACAUAGUUUGAGCUAGAUUUUAUGUCUCAUUGGUGAUAUAACUUCUCAUUUGUUUCAGUAGUUUUUGCAUGCUUUACAUGCUUGGUUAAUUAUGUUCUUUCCAACAUAUCUAAUAGUCCAAGUUGCACGUCUUUAUUUUUUUAGUUUGACCUUGUAAACCUUACAUAUUAUGUAACAGUUGAUCGUCAUGAUCAUGCUUAAAAUAAUUCCCAGUUGAGGUAAUGACAACACUGAAGCAUUGAUGUCCAAUUGUUUCUUGUAGUUCACUUCAUUACAAGAAAAAACAGGUUGAUAUAGUGCGUACAAAAAGACUCAUUAUUCAAAUACGUUUGAUUAUCAUUUUUACGACGUUUUGUGAACUUCACCACUUUACUCUUUCUUCUUUGAAUGAUGCUAAUCGUGUUUUGAUUUUGAUCCUAAACUUGAAGAAGAUACAAAAAAACAAACCCAAAGUUUCACCUGCCUCUUUCCAAUUUAACAUUUUAUUUAUUGGUAUGGAAAAUGUCAUUGCUUACCAGAAUUAUAUCCAGUAUUGUUCAUCUACCCAGAGGUUUGCUAGGUAAUUCUUUUUUUGUUUUAACCUACUUCAUGCAUGUUAUCACUUAUUUAAAUUAGUAAGUAUACUGCAAGAGAUGUUAUAAAGGGUCUUGUCUUUAUCCCCAUACACGAAGUAACUAAACUGUUUCAACUAAGGUCAUAUAUAUAUCUAUAUGAAGUGUUAUAUAAGCUACAAGUCUGUACUGCGUGAAAUUUGCUCAUUUAUCAUGCUUUACUUUUCUAUACAGUUUGACAACGAUCACCAACCAUCUAAUUGUGUAAGCUAUAUGUGUGCAUUCUGACACAACUGUGUAGGACUCGGUGGGGAUGCGAUGGGGACGCUGAAGUGCGAUGGUCACGCUAAAGAGCGAUGGUCUACCCGGAAAAGCGAUGGUCCGUUCGCUGAUGUGCGAUUGCCAUAUAUGUUGUUAUCUAUAGUUUCAUGCUAAAUGAGAGAGAAAGUUCUCUAUAAAUUUGCCGCAUGAGGACAUUUUCUGCGUUUACAGUUUAUCUUCAAAGACAUAACUUUGUUCCCCUCAUCUGAGAUUACUAUGUGUUAUAGUACUCUCGUCUCAGUCUGAGCUUACCAUUUACCGUAGUAUCAUAAUACGAAGAGUAUGUCAGCGUUUUCUAAUUAGUUCUCUUUACCGGUAGUAUUAAGAAGAAUGAAUAGAACUUGUAUAUAUGAUGGAUAUACAAAAACAUUCCAUAUUUUCUCAGCCCAGUUGCAGUAAAAGCGACAUACGGGUGUUAAGUUAAUUAUGUACUUAAAUUAUAAAUAUAUUGCGUUUUAAGCAGCUAUCACAUUUUCAGUCGUUGUAAUAAGCACUUUUUUAAUGGAAAAAAAUGUUUGCAUGUAGCACCUGGAACGUUUGAAUGAAUGUUUACUUUUUGUUGUCCAAAGUAACUAAAACGUAACAAUUAUGACUGGAAAUAUUCUAGAUUAUUUACUUAAUAAACAAAAAAGCUUCUUUUAGCACAGAUAUUUACUUCUUCAUCGACAGAUGGACAUGAAAAACACUAACAACAUGCAGUUUAAGUAACCCAUCGCACUUUGGCGUAGCUAUCAACAAGAUGGCGUCACUAUAACACAAUCGCACUUCAGCGUGAUAAAAAAGGCACUUCAACGUCAAAAUAUCGCAUCUGAACGUGACCAUCGCGGUUUGGAGUACCAUUGGAGUUCAGAGUCUUACAUCUGUAUAAAAUUUUGAUGCUUUUUUCUACAAUAAAUUCAAAUUUUAGAAAUGAGGUAUUUAGCUUUCUGUAAGAAGUUUUUCUGGCUUUUAUGUGUUCACAUCCAUUACAUUUUUAUUUAUUCUGAAUACUCGUAUUUGUGGUAUCAUUCAAGUAACAGCAGAUCGCAUUUUUCAAUCAAAUUGUUAAUAACCAUACGCAGACUUUAGAUUUAUCAUUUAUCCACCUUAAAAAGCUUAAAUUGGAAAGGUUCAACAGUUGAUCAGGACAAACAUGAUGACUUAAAAGUUUGAUUUUCUGGUUUGAAUAUGUUUUUUUUCUUCAGAUGGCCUUAACUUAUAUCAGUAAAAUUUAAAGUCAGGAUAUCAAACCUUGUACACAGCUACUUUUUGCAUAGGUACUAUUUCUGUACUAAAAUAUGCAAUACUGGAAAUUUACUUUUAAUAUUUAGUACUAUUUAUUUACUUUAAAAUUAUUGUAAUAUUUAGGUACUUGUAUUUUACAGUACUUGAUUUGUACUAAAUAUUUUGGUACAGAAAUAAUAUAAUAUUCCAUGUUUGAAAAUCAUAACUUUAAGAGAUUUGAAAUACAAAAACUUUCAAAAUGCUGAAAAUGUAACGGUAGUAACCAAAAACUUGUAGUACCUAAAUUUCAAGUACAAAUUAGGUACUGUAAAAUACAGGUACCUAAAUAUUACAAUAAUUUUAAAGUUACAAAAUAGUACUGAAUAUUAAAAGUAAAUUUCCAGUACUACAGAGUUUUAGUACAGAAAUAGUACCUAUGCAAAAGUAGUUGUGUAGGAGUCACAUUUCCCCAUUACUAAGACAUGUUUAAGAUAAGUUUUAUAGAAAACAUGGUGUCAUUUUCAUAGAUGUGCAUUGGUUGUUUUUGUCAGUCUCGAAUGCAAUAAUUGAUUUACUGCUUAUAAAUUGAUGCAAUAAAUCAUAUAAGUAUAAUGUCAUUAUAAAAAGAAUUAAAUGAAUUUCAAUUAUUUAAUGCAGAGCGUUUAAUGGAAAACCAGUAAGGCAAUGUUCACAUUAACCCAAACUUGGUGUUGUGUUAGUGUAAUUCACAAUGAAACAAAAACACUUUAAGUUCCCAUUGAUAACACUCAUCUUUUACAUUUAGUUAAAAUCAUGUUUUGUUUACAUGCUGUCGAUAGUCAUUGUCGGCCUUAUGUUGCUUAAGUGUACACAAAACAAGGUAUUUAAAACAUGAAUUUUACCCUUUAUAUUUAAAAAAGAAACGUUUUUAUGAGUAGAAUUGAUAUUUAUAACAAUUUUAAUCAGGUUCUAUAUCGAAUGAUUUGUCUUGUUAUAAAAAAAUAAAAAUAGGUAGCUUUCUUAACCCCUUAUCAACACUAAAAACAUCAUCAUUACCAAACAUCAUUCAUUUAAAAAUGUCUACCCGAAUUGACUGGACGCACACGGAUAUAUUUUCCACUGAUCAAUACUCAACCAACGGUUCACUCGUAAAUGUACUACUAAAAAGAAAAUGCUGUGAAUUGUAUUGUUUGCUAGAAUCUCAGAUCCGGUAAAGUGCACUAAGAAAUGAAAAAAAAUCAUUUUCAAUUUACGAACUGUUGAUUUAAGGCCAAAGUAUCUGCAAUUCCACAUCAAAACUAUCAGAUGCUUCCAAUCCCUUUCGAUAAAAAGUUCAACAGCUGCUUUAUAUACGCUCAUUGGCGAAAUACCAAUUGAAGACGAACUUCAUAAGAGACAACUUAGACAACUUUCCAAAGGUGCAAAUCUUACAAUAUUACAGUCAUUCACGAGCUGUACACAAAAUUCUUCUAACAUAAUUUCAAUGGAAAAAGCUAAUCAACACAGCCAUAGCCGAUAAAUGGACAUGUAAGCUAAAAACCGAAGUGAAAGAAAAAUCCAGUCUUUAAUUCUGCUAACAAUAGAGAUCAAAAUACAUCAGACUCUACCAGUUUGGAACUAUUUACCAUCAGUCAUAUAUUAGGUGAAAAAGGCACAAAUCAAAGCUAGGUUACUAACAUACCUUUCAGAAUUUUACAUUAAAAAAAUUCAAAAGUGAAAAAGAAAAGGUAAAUUGUACUCUGAUAUUUGGAAACAAAAACUCUAGAACACUUCGUACUCAAUUGCCCAGCUCUUUAUGAUUAACGACACUUUCAAAGGGAACCAGACAUUAAUUAUUCAAAUAAAUAUAGACAGCACAACAGUAACAAAAGAAAUGAACUUUAUUCCAGAAACAAUUAUUCAAAUAGAAAAUCUUAGUAGAGAUCUAUGAUGUAGAUUGAAUCCAUCGUAAUUAUAUUAAGGGAGUUAAUCGCUUUAAAAAAAAGUAAAAUCACAAAAAUACUGAACUCAGAAGAAAAUCUAACUGGAAAGUCCAUAAUCACAAUACAAAAUCGAAUGACAAAGCACAUAAAAAACGAAUGGACAAGAACUGUCCUAUUCCUGACAUGGUACAGGCAUUUUCAAAAGUAGAAAAUUGUGGAUUAAACCUGUUUUUAAAGCGCUAAACCUCUCACUCUGAUGACAGUCUCAUCAAAUUCCAUAACUCAUUUUAAAUUUUUUUGAGUUACCGAAUACAUGUAAUUAAUGCAAUUCAUUAAACUGAUGUAAAUAUUUCCGCUGUAAAUUCUUGACCACUUAUUUUACCUAUUUUAUUCUUUUUUAUCAAAAUCCUUUUAAAACUUUUCAACUCAGCUAAUGUCUUUUUUAAGUAUAUAAACAAAAAGAUAAAUAUUUGUCUGCUGUUAAUAUAUCCCCUUACUACCUUUUCUUUUAAAUCAAUGUUGGUUUUUUUUUUUUAAAGUUUAAGGUCUAUAUUUUACUACCGUGUGACACGGGUGCUCCGUUGCGGAGUAAUCUACGAAAGAAGCUUCGUAGUAUUUGGUCAUUGCUCUUGGUUCCAAAUAUAGACCGUUUUAUUCAAGCAAAUCUAAUGAAUUGCGAAAAACGCAAAUACAUUUCAUCAAAUUAUCAACUCCUGAAAGGUUGUAUGUUUGGUACCAUCUAAUUUAAAUAGUUUAUAAGUGCUAUAUAUGUUAAAUUCCCGCGCUUGUUUUGUAUUUAACAGAUCAAAUGUUGAAAGAUCUAGAAAAAUGGUUACAAGAUGAUACAAAGUUCGUACCUACAACAGCUUCUGAGUAUGUAUUAAGUUGUUUGAAAAGGGAAAACUGUGUAUCUAUUGUUGGAAGUCCAGGAGUGGGAAAAACCGCUGUUACAAGACAUGUAGCUUUAAAGAUGAAAGAGCAAGGAUAUACUGUAAUUCCUAUAACAGUUCCAACGGAUAUAAGAGACUUUUACCAGCCAGGUCAACAAACAGUGUUUAUUAUUGAUGAUAUGUGUGGUAAAUUUACUGCUAAUCAACAGCUGAUUGACACCUGGAAACAGUUACUAGGUGUCGUUGAUAACAUAUUAUCAGAUAAUUGUAAAAUUUUUGUAUCAAUUAGAUCCCAAGUAUAUAAAGAUACACAAUUUUGUGUGUUAUCCCAAUUCAGAUCAUGUGAAUGUAAUUUAUUUUCACACAAUUUACUGUUAUCGAAGGAUGAGAGAAUACAAAUAGCCAAAUCUCAUUUAGGUAAACAUGGAAAUGAUAUACCAGAAGCUAUGUUGUUGAAAUAUGAUUUUUUUCCUCUAUUAUGCUUUCUUUUUAGUAGACAAGAAAACAUGGACAUCAAUAAUUUCUUUAAUAACCCUUUCGUAGUAUUUGAAAAAGAGCUGAACAGUCUUUGGAAUGAAGGAGAAGUUGGUCAGUGCAAGAUUUGUGGACUAGCGCUUUGUGUUAUUUAUAAUAAUAAAUUAGAUGAGAAAUACCUGACAAGCAUGGAAUCGUGUGUUCGGGAUAUAAUAGAUGAUGUGUGUGAAGCAUGUGGAAUUAAUAGAGGAACAUCGAGGAUCAAAAUAAAGGAAGAACUGGAUACACUUGUAGGUACAUAUCUUAAGAAAGAAAACAAUAUAUAUAUAACAAUUCAUGAUAAGCUAUUUGAUUUUUUGGUAUAUUUCUAUGGAACAAAGAUGUUAGACUGCCUUAUUAAACAUGCAAUGACUGAUAUCAUCCACCAACGUUUCCGAUGGAACAAAUUUCGCAAUAACGAGGACAAAGAUACAGAUGAGUUUAUUAACAUAAUUCCAGAUGAUAAAUUAACCUUGUAUUUAAACAGACUUAUAUUAGACUGGUCACAUGGAAAACUUUAUGAUGUGUUCUCGUCUAAUUAUAACAUGACAAAUGAACAAUUCAGGGAAUUAUUACUUACUCAGUUAUUGUAUCGUGAUAAAGCAGAACAGUCACAACUUUCCCGGGUUACAGAGAGGGAGGACUGUUUUGUAAUUGGUUCUUUAGAAGCCUGUUGUGCGAAAGGGUAUACUAAUUUGUUACCAUGGUUUGUUGAUCAAGGUUUGGACAUUAAUCAAUGUAAUAGUUUGACACCUCUUGGUGCUGCAUGUUGUGGAAAUCAAAUAGAAAUGAUCAAUACAUUAUUAAAUAAGGGGGCAGAUAUUAACAAACAACAAAUGCUUGGAUUUACACCUCUUCAUCACUCAUGUGAUGCCAGUGUCGACCGAGCUAUCUUAGUUCUAUUGCUGAAAAACAAACCUUGCCUAAACAAACGAAGGUACGAUGGUGCAACUCCAUUACUCUAUGCGUUAUAUGAACACAAUAGGGAAGCAGUAAAACUACUUCUUUCUCAUUCUGCUGAUUGUAAUAUUGGUUUCUAUGACAGUCAGACAAUUAAAGAUGGACGAAGGGAAUACGAAAAAU